rnacentral:rRNA from 1 species
CCCCUAGAUGUUCUGGGCCGCACGCGCGCUACACUGAACAGUUCAACAAGUCUUAACCUUGGCCGAUAGGUCUGGGUAAUCUUUGAACGCUGUUCGUGAUUGGGAUAGACCUUUGCAAUUAUGGGUCUUCAACGAGGAAUUCCUAGUAAACGCAAGUCAUCAGCUUGCAUUGAUUACGUCCCUGCCCUUUGUACACACCGCCCGUCGCACCUACCGAUUGAAUGGUCCGGUGAAAUCUCGGGACGGCGGCUUGGUCGCUUGCUUCCGACUGCUGAAACUUGAUUAAACCAUAUCAUUUAGAGGAAGGUGAAGUCGUAACA